AUGGAUGUCGAAGCAAUUCUUAACAUCCCUUUAAGCUCAAGAGUCCGCAAGGAUUUCUGGUCUUGGCAUUAUGAGAAGAGGGGUGUUUUUACAGUACGGUCUGCAUACAGACUCUUGACCGCUACGAAACAAAAACGGACGGACUGGCUAGAGCACAAUGACGGUCACUCGCGAUGUGAUUCUGAUAGCCGAUCCUGGACAAAGUUGUGGGGAGCAUCGGUCCCGUCCAAAGUUAGAAUCUUCGCAUGGAGAUUGGCAAAAACUUCCAUCCCAACGGGAGAAGUCCGCAAGAAUAGAAGCAUGGCUGAAACAUCUGAAUGCACCUUGUGCAAGGUGGCAGUGGAUACGUGGCGUCACUCGCUCUUUGAUUGCAAGAUAGCCAGGUGCGUUUGGGCACUAGCUGAUGAGGAUCUCACGGAAACCAUUGUCUCGAACCGGACUGACGAUGCAAAACUGUGGAUGUUGUGGCUUGUUGACACCCUUCCCCCGAUGGAACUUGCGCGUGUUCUAGUCACAAUGUGGGCCAUUUGGUGGGCAAGACGCCGAGCAAUCCAUGAUGACCAGUUCCAAAGCCCGCUAAGUACGCAUUCCUUCAUUGAGAAAUUCCUGUCGGAUCUGGAGAUGAUCCCCAACGUGCAGGAGCGGCCCAGGGACCGUCUUGCAAAACCAAGGGACCUGCAUGUAAGGGCCGGGGACGUGCAUGUAAGGUACCGGGAAGAAUUGAUGCGAGAUCAGGAAGUGCAGUCGGCCUGGCUUCCGCCACGGGAGCACGACGUCAAGAUGAACGUUGAUGGUAGCCUCUCCAAAAUUGGAGAUCGUGGCGCUCCGGCGGUGAUAUGCAGGGAUAGGCAGGGCAUGUUCCUUGGUGCCUCCGCAGUUAUCUUCGAAGGGUUGCUUGAUCCAACGAUACUAGAAGCCCAGGCGUGUAACGAAGCUCUUGCCCUUGCUGCGGAUCUUCAUGUUCACUCCGUAUGUGUUGCAUCGGACUGCCUCGAGAUGAUUUCAAAUAUCCAUAAUGGUGCCCCUUGCCGUUAUUUCGCUCUCUUAGAGGAGAUCAAGCAUAGAAGACGCUCUAUCCAAGACAUUCAGUUUGUGCAUGAGAAUAGGAAACAUGAGGAAGCCCAUGCCUUAGCUAAGGCGGCUGCUUCUCUCCCACCCGGGCGCCAUAUCGAUCCAUCCAAGAUCUAUCAUGCCAUGGAUGACGACACGGCAGCCAACAUCCGGAGGACGAUAAGCCCGAUGCUAUAUGUCACGGACAUCCUGCUCCGGCUGCCCGUCAGCACGCUUGUAAGAUUAAGGCGCGUCUGCAGGGCUUGGCGCCAGACCAUCUCCGACGACCCUUCUUUCCAGCAUACCCACCUCCACCAGCACUGGACUGAUCCGAGCCUGCUCAUCGCCCCGUGGAUCCAUGAUACCUACAGGACUGACAUCGGUGGCGUCACCGCCGGCCUAUACCAUUGGAAUCAGGAACAGCCGUAUGGCGCCGCUACGGCCCUCAUGAUGAUGCCAGUGCGGGAACUGCCUGAAUUCGCGCACCGUGAUGGGCUAGCGCUGGUGGGCAACGACUCUGCAGCGUGGGUGCUCAACACAACUACACGCCGCAUCCGGGCACUACGCCGCCCCUUCGGCAUCUUGAUGGCUUUCGGCCUUGGGCGCGAUCCUCGCUCGAACACCUACAAGGUCGCCCGCUUCUACUAUCAAAGAAAGCAUGACCCUGUGGCCGGCUACAUCUACACACCGUGUGUGGAGGUGUAUACAAUCCGAAGCACUGGUCAGUGUUGGCACGAGACGGCACAACCCCGUGCAUGUUCAUGGCGCGAGAGACGGCGACCUUCUUUAACGCCUUAUUCCACCACCUGCUUGCUGUUGCUGGUCGUGGGAGAACCAGGAGACAUCUGGAUGAGAUUGGAUGAUGAAACGUUCAGCCUUAUUCCACCACCUCCUUGCUGUUGCUGGUCGUGGGAGAACCAGGAGACAUCUACCUUCUCUGAGUUGCGGGAGGAGCUGUGCUUGACGACUACCAGAGGGCUCAUGAACGGAGCCCUUGAAACGUGGGUUGCGGUGCGCUCCAUGGAUAAUUUCUCCUCUGAUGAUAUAAUGGGAGGGGAAUCCACAUUAGCUGAGGCGUUUGUCAAGCUGGACGGAUAUUGCUUAAGCUAUCAGGUUGAAAAAGAAGACUACAUGCCGGAUGAGGAUUUUAUUCCUCUUGUGUGGAAACACCAUGAUGGUAGCCCGGACAGAGGUCAUGACCAUGAUGCCGAAGAAAAGGAUGAUAAUGCUAAUAAAAAAUACAUAGAAUGGAAGCUCGGUGGUUGUGAAUCCUUGUCCAAACUCAUGUUCUACAGCUCCGGUUCCUAUGCAAACUACAUCACCUGCCGCGCCUCUGUCCGAGCUGCCACAUUCUGUGGGGUUGCCACCACUGCCUCCGUCGGGAUCUUCGGCGGCUUUGGCGGUUCAUGCACAGCAGCGACAACUUCGGCAGCAUGGCCAUGGAUUCUAAAGGCAAGCGGGCCAUGGAUUCUACUGACGGCUUGGACCUGCAUUCUUGCAUGGACAAGACUCCCACUUACAUGCAUGCAUGGAUGUACCAGCACACACAUAUCGUGCAUGCAAGCACGGGUAGAGCUACACACCCAGCCCGUGCCGGUGGGGCUAGACGGGGUUGUCCGCCCUCUGCUACAGGCAAUGCGCGCCUGGGACUGCAGGUUCCUGUCCAAGUCAAGACUUCGCCGAGUCCUGCAUGCUACAGCAAUAUGCACAUCGUCGUGCUCCGACUGUGGUGGUUGCGCUUGGUCCGACCGCGGGGCGCAGCAAGGAGCUAUCUGCAGCACCGGUUGCAGACGUACCAGUGGAGAUUGA
rnacentral:rRNA from 1 species